AGGAAGAGGGGAUCUCCCUGCCAACUAGCAAGAAGCACGCAAAAGAAAAUCAAACCAAUUGGGAGCAUCCUUUUGGCCGAUCCUUGUCAUGCCACUACCUCUUCCAAAUAGAACCCCGGGCCAAAGAAAACUGGGGCAGCUUUGUGAACCUCACACGAAUUGUUCAUCAACCCAUACCACGAUAAAAAAAACUGGGGCAGCUUUGUGAGUCUCACACAAAUUUUUCAUCAAUCCAUAAUCCCAUGACCAGGCAACUUUGCAAGUCUCACUUGAUUUUGUUUCACCCCAAUUUUCAUGGAUCCAAACCCUAGCUCAUUUUCCCAAACACAAAACCGGGGCAAAAUUUUUGGUAUAUCGUGUUUCGCCUUGACACUCACAUAUUGCAUCUUUUUUAAGGAUUGUAGUACCCAUGUAUCAGUCCUAGUCUUCCAAACCAUUCCAAACGGCUCUCAUUCUCUUCAAAACCAUCCUCUUGCCAAUAAAUUCAAG
rnacentral:lncRNA from 1 species